CCUACGGGCGGCAGCAGUGAGGAAUAUUGGUCAAUGGGCGGAAGCCUGAACCAGCCAAGUCGCGUGAGGGAAUAAGGCCCUACGGGUUGUAAACUGCUUUUAUACGGGAAUAACGCGCCUUACGUGUAGGGCUUUGCAUGUACCGUAUGAAUAAGGACCGGCUAAUUCCGUGCCAGCAGCCGCGGUAAUACGGAGGGUCCGGGCGUUAUCCGGCUUUAUUGGGUUUAAAGGGAGCGUAGGCCGCAUGUCAAGCGUGCUGUGAAAUGUCCGGGCUCAACCCGGGCCUUGCGGCGCGAACUGGCGUGCGUGAGUGCGAGGAAAGCAGGCGGAAUUCGUGGUGUAGCGGUGAAAUGCUUAGAUAUGACGAAGAACCCCGAUUGCGAAGGCAGCUUGCUGCAGCGGAACUGACGCUGAUGCUCGAAAGCGCGGGUAUCGAACAGGAUUAGAUACCCGUGUAGUC
rnacentral:rRNA from 1 species